rnacentral:rRNA from 1 species
AACGAACGCUGGCGGCAUGCCUAACACAUGCAAGUCGAACGAGCCCUUCGGGUCUAGUGGCGCACGGGUGCGUAACGCGUGGGAACCUGCCCUUAGGUUCGGAAUAACUCCCCGAAAGGGGUGCUAAUACCGGAUAAUGUCUUCGGACCAAAGAUUUAUCGCCCUUGGAUGGGCCCGCGUUGGAUUAGCUAGUUGGUAGGGUAAAAGCCUACUAAGGCGACGAUCCAUAGCUGGUUUGAGAGGAUGAUCAGCCACACUGGGACUGAGACACGGCCCAGACUCCUCCGGGAGGCAGCAAAGGGUGAUAUUGGACAAUGGGCUGAAUCCUGAUCCAGCAAUGCCGCGUGAGUUAUGAAGGCCUUAGGGUUGUAAAGCUCUUUUACCCGGGAUGAUAAUGACAGUACCGGGAGAAUAAGCUCCGGCUAACUCCGUG